CACAACCCAACAUUAAAAUAAAAAGGAUCCAACGGAGAGUCGCCCACCAACUGAUGCAUCCUGCUCUGGGGCUGCUUCUUCCACCAUGGCUGACUUUUUCGUUGUUCCUGUCGGGAUGCAGAAGAGAAGUUGAGGGGGGAGAUGGAGGUGGGGGGGUGAAGAAUGAAUAUAAACAAACACACAACAGCAGCAUCAAUGUAUCAGAUUGAUAGUGUACCUGUAAGGUAAUUCCUGUGCAUUCGGGCGAACAGCAUGAGACCAAAGAAGACGAUAAAACCUAUGCAGGCUAUAAUCAUUCCACACAGCAGGAAGCUGUAGCUGCCUUCAGUGUGGAUAAUCUGGGGAUGAGAAAGGGAGCCUUAAACUGCUGAACAUGAAGUAGAAGCGUCAUUUCUCUAUUUCUAGAAUAAGGAAGAUGCUUAACAGACUUACUGAGCCAACUACAACCUGCAUCACCAUCUCGCCCAUCCCUGCACUUGUCACCAGGACUGACGUUGCACAUCCUGCAAAAAAAAGAAAAUAAAUGUAUGUUUCAUUUCA